CCUUCCCUUUCUUUCUAUAGUCGCAGCAAUUUCGUCAUUCUUGGGAUUUCCUCGCUCGCCCACCUCUAGCAGUUGCGAGGUCGCCGCAGUUGCGUUUGGCCGCAUCUCGAUGUGAAGGAUUUCAGAGCCUUUGUUGAGCGAUUCGAGAUAUAUCCCUCCCCUCACCUCUGCCUCCUGCCGCUCGCCAUCUGACCUCAAGUUCGCCGUCAGAUUUGUGUAACCUUCUAUUGAUACUUCCCAUUUUUUUUUUUUUUUUGGCUUUGGGCUGUGUGUGUUUAUCAUCUGAAGCUUUGAGAUCGAGGGCCUUGUUGCUGCUGGAUACGGGAAUCCAGAUUGGAAGAGGACGCAUGAACCUGGUAGCCAGACAGCGGUAGUGGUGUUGUGGCUUCAAAAGAACGGGGCAACCUGUGUUGGGCGGAACAGUCCUGGAUGAAUUUGCAUUUGGUGCUACAGGAGAAAACUUGCUGAUAUCAAUGUUUUGGCUGGGGAAUUAAUGUUUCUAUCACCACUGUAAUGUUCAUGCAAUGAUACGAAGCUAAGGCUCUAGAGAUCUAUCAGGCCUCAGAUGCUGAUAUCAAGAUUGUCUCAACAAACUUGGUUGGUUCAUUAAUCCAUAUGAAGUAAUUCAUCUCAUGGAGUUUGAGACAAAGGAGGGCAAAGGGAAGAAAUCAUAGACAUGCAUGCUACUAGCAAGAGG